GACGAGAGUCUGAACCAGCCAAAUCGCGUGAAGGAAGACUGCCUUAUGGGUUGUAAACUUCUUUUAUACAGGAAUAAAAAGAGUUACGUGUAACUUAUUGCAUGUACUGUAUGAAUAAGCAUCGGCUAACUCCGUGCCAGCAGCCGCGGUAAUACGGAGGAUGCGAGCGUUAUCCGGAUUUAUUGGGUUUAAAGGGUGCGCAGGCGGGAUCUUAAGUCAGCGGUGAAAUUUUCAGGCUCAACCUGAACACUGCCGUUGAAACUGGGAUUCUUGAGUGUAGAUGAAGUAGGCGGAAUUCGUUGUGUAGCGGUGACAUGCUUAGAUAUAACGAGGAACUCCAAUUGCGUAGGCAGCUUACUAAGCUAUAACUGACGCUCAAGCACGAAAGCGUGGGGAUCAAACAGGAUUAGAUACCCUGGUAGUCCACGCCGUAAACGAUGAUUACUAGUUGUUUGUGAUAUAUUAUAAGUGACUAAGCGAAAGCGAUAAGUAAUCCACCUGGGGAGUA
rnacentral:rRNA from 1 species